AACGGUCUAUACCUGCGGUACCUGCGGAGGGAUCAUUAUAGAGUUGUAAAACUCCCAACCCUUUGUGAACUUUACCUGUCAUGUUGCUUCGGCAGGCGGCCCCAGGGCGGGGCUUCAAGCCUGUAUUUUUCAGGCGUCUGCCGAAGGACUCAAACUCUUUUACACCUAGAAGUUUUCUGAGUAUUUUACAAAUAAGUCAAAACUUUCAGCAACGGAUCUCU
rnacentral:misc_RNA from 1 species